rnacentral:rRNA from 1 species
AGAGUUUGAUCAUGGCUCAGGAUGAACCUAGCGGCAGGCUUAAUACAUGCAAGUCGUGGGGCAGCACAGGUAGCAAUACUGGGUGGCGACCGGCAAACGGGUGCGGAACACGUACGCAACCUUCCUUUAACUGGAGAAUAGCCCCUCGAAAGAGGGAUUAAUACUCCGUAACAUAUUGAUAAGGCAUCUUAUUAAUAUUAUAGCUCCGGCGGUUAAAGAUGGGCGUGCGCCUGAUUAGAUAGUUGGUGAGGUAACGGCUCACCAAGUCUGCGAUCAGUAACUGGUGUGAGAGCACGACCAGUCACACGGGCACUGAGACACGGGCCCGACUCCUACGGGAGGCAGCAGUAAGGAAUAUUGGUCAAUGGACGCAAGUCUGAACCAGCCAUGCCGCGUGGAGGAUUAAGGCCCUCUGGGUUGUAAACUCCUUUUAUCUGGGAAGAAAUCCAUGUAUUCUUAUGUGGUUGACGGUACCAGAGGAAUAAGCACCGGCUAACUCCGUGCCAGCAGCCGCGGUAAUACGGAGGGUGCAAGCGUUAUCCGGAUUUACUGGGUUUAAAGGGUGCGUAGGCGGACAGGUAAGUCCGUGGUGAAAUCUCUGAGCUUAACUCAGAAACUGCCAUGGAUACUAUUUGUCUUGAAUACUGUGGAGGUAAGCGGAAUAUGUCAUGUAGCGGUGAAAUGCUUAGAUAUGACAUGGAACACCAAUUGCGAAGGCAGCUUACUACACAAAUAUUGACGCUGAGGCACGAAAGCGUGGGGAUCAAACAGGAUUAGAUACCCUAGUAGUCC